rnacentral:rRNA from 1 species
GUAGGAUCCGAGCGUUAUCCGAAUUUACUGGGCGUAAAGCGCGUGUAGGCGGCUCGAUAAGUUGGAUGUGAAAGCUCCUGGCUCAACUGGGAGAGGACGUUCAAUACUGUCAGGCUAGAGGGCGGCAGAGGGAGGUGGAAUUCCCGGUGUAGUGGUGAAAUGCGUAGAUAUCGGGAGGAACACCAGAGGCGAAGGCGGCCUCCUGGGCCGCGCCUGACGCUGAGACGCGAAAGCUAGGGUAGCAAACGGGGGAUUAGAAACCCCGGUAGUCCUAGCCGUAAACGAUGUAGACUUGGUGUCGGUGGUGUAAAAACCCAUCGGUGCCGCAGCUAACGCGGUAAGUCUACCGCCUGGGGACUACGGUCGCAAGGCUA